rnacentral:rRNA from 1 species
UACGUAGGGUGCGAGCGUUAAUCGGAAUUACUGGGCGUAAAGCGUGCGCAGGCGGUUUCUUAAGCCAGACGUGAAAUCCCCGGGCUUAACCUGGGAACUGCGUUUGGAACUGGGAGACUAGAGUGUGUCAGAGGGAGGUGGAAUUCCGCGUGUAGCAGUGAAAUGCGUAGAUAUGCGGAGGAACACCGAUGGCGAAGGCAGCCUCCUGGGAUAACACUGACGCUCAUGCACGAAAGCGUGGGGAGCAAACAGG